rnacentral:rRNA from 1 species
AUUGAACGCUGGCGGCAGGCCUAACACAUGCAAGUCGAGCGCCUCAGCAAUGGGGAGCGGCAGACGGGUGAGUAACGCGCGGGAACCUUCCCAAUGGUACGGAAUAACGCACCGAAAGGCGCGCUAAUACCGUAUACGCCCGAAAGGGGAAGAUUUAUCGCCAUUGGAUGGGCCCGCGUCGGAUUAGCUAGUUGGUAGGGUAACGGCCUACCAAGGCGACGAUCCGUAGCUGGUCUGAGAGGAUGAUCAGCCACACUGGGACUGAGACACGGCCCAGACUCCUACGGGAGGCAGCAGUGGGGAAUAUUGGACAAUGGGCGCAAGCCUGAUCCAGCCAUGCCGCGUGAGUGAAGAAGGCCUUCGGUUGUAAGACUCUUUGGUCGGGACGGAGUAAUGACGGUACCCGCACGAAUAAGACUCCGGC